UACGGAGGGUGCAAGCGUUAUCCGGAUUUACUGGGUUUAAAGGGUGUGUAGGCGGGCCAUUAAGUCAGGGGUGAAAUCCCGGAGCUCAACUCCGGAACUGCCUUUGAUACUAUUGGUCUUGAAUGUUGUUGAGGUGGGCGGAACGGGUCAUGUAGCGGUGAAAUGCAUAGAUAUGACCCGGAACACCGAUUGCGAAGGCAGCCCGCUGGGACGGUACUGACGCUAAGGCGCGAAAGCGUGGGGAGCGAACAGG
rnacentral:rRNA from 1 species